CCGCAUGUGCUCUGGAGGAAGGCCGCGGGGGCAUCUGCAGUCAGGAAAGACAAAAUGGAGCCACGCAGGGGAAAGCAGCAUGGGGUGGGGGAAGAUGGCACGUUCCCAGCGCAGGGAGAGGAAGAACAGGUGCUUCUCCGAGGAAGACUGCCGCUACUCCCCGGGCCCUGGCAGCCUGCCUAGCCGCAGAGCCGUGCGCUUGCCGGCCUCCUGGCAGCGGAGCCUGCGGCGGAACCACCACAGUGAAGCAUUCUGUACCCUCGCAGCUGCUCUCCCGAAAACUGCAGGUCCUCCAGGAGGCCGAAAUAAACCUACGUGCAACUUGUCUUCCAGGAGAGGAGAAAGUAUGUUUCCCGACGCGAAAUGAUGUUUAAGAUCCCCGCCCAAACCCCCAAUCCUGCAUUUAAGCAUCCACUGGACUGCUAACGGGAUUGUUCUUAAGCUUGGCAUUUGCAAGGCGUAGAUUUUUCUGUGUUCUCUCCUCUGCCAAGUUUGCCUCCUCUGAGGCUCUCUGGGGGAGUAUUUGCAACUCUGCAGUUCAGUUUGAGGAAAGAAAAGUCCCCAAAGCAAUCAUGUAGUCUUUAAAAUACUCUUAUGUAAAUCAAGCUAAAGUGUCUCUAAAUUCAUUAGGGUUACUUGCCCUGGAGGGACCUAGCAAAAUUGGCAGAGACAUUUUCACUAUCUAGACUGUGGUUGUUGACCUUUUCUUCUGUCUUGCUUACACUUUCCUAGGGAGGAGGCAGGAACUCCAGAGAGGCUUAUCGGAUUGGCAGAAGGACAGCCCCCACUAAAAAUGCCUGUUACACACCUUCUGGGAACUGCCCUCCUCUUUCCCCUCCUCCCAGCCCCAGCUGGAAUUCCCAAAUGUAGCCUAAACCAGCACCAGGCC